CGGCUCCACUUGUGUAACAACUUCCAUAGGCUGUGGACCUUCAACCAAAUCUGAAUGCGGCACAAGCAUCUCCUCGUCUUCUUGAUCUAACGUUGGUGGAGUCAUCAUAGUCAUGGAAGGAGAGAGACGAGCCGUUCGAUCGACAAAUCUGAGAAUCGAAACCGAAUCGAAAGCAGAUAAAGGAAAAGAAGGAAAAAAAACACAGUGAGAGAGAAAUACAAAGAAAAAAGAUAAGAGAGAUGGAAAAGAAGCAAAGCGGGCUCUGCAAGGAGAGACUCG
rnacentral:misc_RNA from 1 species